CGGGAGCCCGGCCUCGUGCGCCGCGCUUUGAGCCUCUAGGCCAUGAAACUGCCUCACCAAGCACUAUGCAAUUGAGUGCCCACCAGAAGACACCCCUCCAGUCAACCCACAGACCCCAGAAAGAGUACCCAGAGGAGCCUGAGCACACUCCACCCUAUCUGUUCUCUGAAAUUCAAUCAAAUGAGUCACUCUACUUCUCUGGAAGCAGAAAGAGGCUGGAAGUUUUUCUCCAG
rnacentral:lncRNA from 1 species